UACGGAGGGGCUAGCGUUGUUCGGAAUUACUGGGCGUAAAGCGCACGUAGGCGGCUAUUUAAGUCAGAGGUGAAAGCCUGGAGCUCAACUCCAGAACUGCCUUUGAGACUGGAUAGCUAGAAUCUUGGAGAGGCGGGUGGAAUUCCGAGUGUAGAGGUGAAAUUCGUAGAUAUUCGGAAGAACACCAGUGGCGAAGGCGGCCCGCUGGACAAGUAUUGACGCUGAGGUGCGAAAGCGUGGGGAGCAAACAGG
rnacentral:rRNA from 1 species